GAUCAUGGCUCAGGACGAACGCUGGCGGCGUGCUUAACACAUGCAAGUCGAACGAGAUGAUUUAGAAGCUUGCUUUUAGAGAAUCUAGUGGCAAACGGGUGAGUAACACGUAGACAACCUGCCGACAGGAUGGGGACAACAUUCCGAAAGGAAUGCUAAUACCGAAUGAAGUCAGAGGAGGGCAUCCUCCUCUGAUGAAAGAUGGCCUCUAUUUAUAAGCUAUC
rnacentral:rRNA from 1 species